rnacentral:rRNA from 1 species
AAAUCUUGAGAAAUUGUCGGAUGAGCUGUGGUUAGGAGCGAAAGACUAAUCAAACCCCCUGAUAGCUGGUUCUUUCCGAAAUAUAUUUGGGUAUAGCCUCGGGCGCUGAUGAGUGGAGGUAGAGCACUAAAUAAGCUAGGGCCCCUACCGGGGUACUGAACUUAAUUAAACUCCGAAUACCAUUCAAUGAAGCCCGGGAGUCAGACUGUGGGGGAUAACCUUCAUAGUCAAAAGGAGAAUAAUCCAAACCAUCAGUUAAGGUCCCAAAAUACGGCUCAGUGUAAAAGGAUGUGAUUUUGCUUAGACAAUGGGGAUGUUGGCUUAGAGGCAGCCAUCAUUUAAACAGUGCGUAACAGCUGACCCAUCGAGCGAAAUUGCGCCGAAAAUGAUCGGGACUUAAGCCGUAUACCGAAGCUAUGGCUGCCAUCGCAAGAUGGCGGGGUAGGAAAGCGUUCCAAAUGCAGCGAAGUGGAAGGGGCAACCGACCAUGGAGCGUUUGGAAGUGAGAAUGCAGACAUAAGUAACGAUAAAGAUGGUUAAAAUCCAUCUCGCCUCAAUUCCAAGGAUUCCUGGGGAAGGUUCGUCCUCCCAGGGUUAGUCGGGAGCUAAGACGAGGCCGUAAGGAGUAGUCGAUGCACAGCUGGUUCAAUAUUCCAGCACCACCUUAUUAGAGUUCGAUGCCAAGGAGUGACGGAGAAAGUUAACACGAGCGGGGCGCUGAUUUCCGUUCAAGUCCGUAGGUUAUUCGGGGAUAAAAUACCGGAUCUAUCUGAAAGACGAUGAAGAGCUGAGGCUACGGCCAAGGCGAUUCGUGUGAUACUCGGCUUCCAGGAAAAGCUUCGUGGCUAUUUGAUAGGGUGCCCGUACCGUAAACCGACACAGGUGGAAUAGAUGAGUAUUCUAAGGCGCGUGGGUUAAAUCUCUCUAAGGAACUCGGCAAACUGACCCCGUAUGUUAGCUAUAAGGGGUGCCUCGCAAGAGGCCACAGAUAAGAGUGUCAACCGACUGUUUAGCAAAAACACAGCUCUCUGCUAAGUCGCAAGACGACGUAUAGGGAGUGACUUGUGACCAAUGCGGAAAGGUGAAAGCCUGGGGUGCAAGCUCCGGGUCUAAGCCCCCGUGAAUGUCGGCCGUAACUAUAACGGUCCUAAGGUAGCGAAAUUCCUUGUCGGGUAAGUUCCGACCCGCACGAAUCAAGUAACGAGUUGACAACUGUCUCGGAGAGAGGCCCAGUGAAAUUGUAGUGGCGGUGAAGAUGCCGCCUACCCGCAGCAGGACGGAAAGACCCUAUGCACCUUUACUGUAAGCUGUUAUUGUCGCUUGAUUUUUAAUACGUAGCAUAGCUGGGAGACUGCGAAUCCUGCCUUCAGGGGCGGGCCGAGUCGAAAUAUGAAAUACCAGUUUUUAAUUGUUAGGCGUCUAACCUCGUCU